rnacentral:rRNA from 1 species
GAGUUUGAUCCUGGCUCAGGAUAAACGCUGGCGGCGCACAUAAGACAUGCAAGUCGAACGAACUUAACCAUUAGUUUACUAUUGGAGCGGUUAGUGGCGGACUGGUGAGUAACACGUAAGCAACCUGCCUAUCAGAGGGGAACAACAGUUAGAAAUGACUGCUAAUACCGCAUAUGCCUUAGAAUCACAUGGUUCAAAAGGGAAAGGAGCAAUCCGCUGAUAGAUGGGCUUGCGUCUGAUUAGCUAGUUGGUGGGGCAACGGCCUACCAAGGCGACGAUCAGUAGCCGAACUGAGAGGUUGAACGGCCACAUUGGGACUGAGAUACGGCCCAGACUCCUACGGGAGGCAGCAGUCGGGAAUAUUGCGCAAUGGAGGAAACUCUGACGCAGUGACGCCGCGUGCAGGAAGAAGGUUUUCGGAUUGUAAACUGCUUUAGACAGGGAAGAACAAAGACAGUACCUGUAGAAUAAGCUCCGGCUAACUACGUGCCAGCCGCCGCGGUAAUUC